rnacentral:rRNA from 1 species
GCUCAGAUUAAACGCUGGCGGCAGGCCUAACACAUGCAAGUCGAGCGGUAGCACAAGAGAGCUUGCUCUCUGGGUGACGAGCGGCGGACGGGUGAGUAAUGUUUGGGAAACUGCCUGAUGGUGGGGGAUAACUAGUGGAAACGGUAGCUAAUACCGCAUAAUGUCGCAAGACCAAAGUGGGGGACCUUCGGGCCUCACGCCAUCAGAUGUGCCCAGAUGGGAUUAGCUGUUAGGUGGGGUAAUGGCUCACCUAGGCGACGAUCCCUAGCUGGUCUGAGAGGAUGACCAGCCACACUGGAACUGAGACACGGUCCAGACUCCUACGGGAGGCAGCAGUGGGGAAUAUUGCACAAUGGGCGCAAGCCUGAUGCAGCCAUGCCGCGUGUGUGAAGAAGGCCUUCGGGUUGUAAAGCACUUUCAGCGAGGAGGAAGGGUAAUGUGUUA